AUCUAAAGCUAAAUCCUGGCCAGAGCCGAUAGCGAACAAGUAGAGUGAUCGAAAGAUGAAAAGCACUUUGAAAAGAGAGUCAAACAGUACGUGAAAUUGUUGAAAGGGAAGCGCAUGGGGGCAGACUUGGCCGCGGUGUUCAGGGUGUGUCUCGCACCUGUACUUCGCUGCGGACAGGCCAGCAUCGGUUCCGGGGGUCGGAGAAAGGCGCUGGGAAGGUGGCAGCCUUCGGGGUGUGUUAUAGCCCGGCGCGCAAUGCGGCCACCUGGGACCGAGGACCGCGCUUCGGCAAGGAUGCUGGCGUAAUGGCCUCAUGCGGCCCGUCUUGAAACACGGACCAAGGAGUCUAACAUCUAUGCGAGUGUUUGGGUGGGAAGCCCGGGCGCGCAAUGAAAGUGAACGGAGGUGGGAGCUCUCGGGCGCACCAUCGACCGAUCCGGACGUUUUCUGAAGGAUUUGAGUAAGAGCAUAGCUGUUGGGACCCGAAAGAUGGUGAACUAUGCGUGAAUAGGGUGAAGCCAGAGGAAACUCUGGUGGAGGCUCGCAGCGGUUCUGACGUGCAAAUCGAUCGUCAAAUUUGCGUAUAGGGGCGAAAGACUAAUCGAACCAUCUAGUAGCUGGUUCCUGCCGAAGUUUCCCUCAGGAUAGCAGUAACGUAUUCAGUUUUAUGAGGUAAAGCGAACGAUUAGGGAGCUAGGGGUUGAAACAACCUUUAUCCAUUCUCGAACUUUAAAUAUGUAAGAAGUCCUUGUUGCUUUGUUGAACGUGGACACUCGAAUGCAGCGUUACUAGUGGGCCAUUUUUGGUAAGCAGAACUGGCGAUGCGGGAUGAACCGAACGUGGGGUUAAGGUGCCGGAAUGCACGCUCAUCAGACACCACAAAAGGUGUUGGUUCAUCCAGACAGCAGGACGGUGGCCAUGGAAGUCGGAAUCCGCUAAGGAGUGUGUAACAACUCACCUGCCGAAUGAACCAGCCCUGAAAAUGGAUGGCCGCUCAAGCGUGCUACCCAUACCCCACCGUCUUCGUGGGAAGGUUUGCGAAGACGAGUAGGCAGGCGUGGAGGUUUUGUGACGAAG
rnacentral:rRNA from 1 species